GGCCUGCGGCCCUCGAGGACUGGAGUUUGAGACCCCUGAACCACGCAGAGGACACGUCUGCAGCACCCACAUUGGAUUUUCAGCCCACGCUCAUUUGUGACGUUUAAACCCAGAAGAAUCCUGUGUUCCGCUCUCCCCCCUCCUGAAGCGGACCGGAACAACUCUGAUCCUCCGCAGGUGUUUCCCAUUGACCUCAACAAGCCGCCAUAUUUUACAUCCACAAACCGGAGACACAAACAUUAUCUGCAGACCGGGACCGGAC